AUGUUAAAUAUUAUAAAAUCAAAAUUAAAUACUACAUAUAAAAAAAAAGGAUUAAAUGAUUCUAGUAUAGCUAUUUAUAAUAGAGAUGUAAUACCUGCUGUAAGGAAUUGAAAAAGUAGUAUAUAUGCUUAUAAUAAAAAUGCUAUUAAUUUAAUUCCUAUUAAAAGCAAAUAUGUAAUGAAAUUAAUUAAAGCAUACUUUAAUUUAUAUCAUUUACAACUAGAAUCUUUAUUAAGAAAAAAUAGAUUACGUCGUAGAUUUAGAAAAAUAUCAACUAAUAGAAUAUUUAUUAGUGAUGGUGAAUUUAAACAUACUAAUGAUAAAGUAAAUAUAACAUUAUAUGUUUAUAAUAAACAAAAACUUAAUUACUUAUUAAGACUUAAAAAAAGAUAUUUAACUUUAUUUAAAAAAGCUAAAUUUGCUAGAAAAUUAAAAUUAAUAAAAAAUAGAGGAUUAACUAUUUUGUUUAAACAUAAACAAAAAAGUAUAUUAUUAAGUAAUCUUUUACCUAAAUAUAAUACUCAAGUAAAUACAGCACAAAAUAUUUACUAUACAAGAUUUAUUAAAAAAAGUUUUAGAAGAUUAAAAUUCUAUAUGUAUUAUAAACAAAUGCUUUAUAUUAAUAAAGCUAAAUUUGAAAAUACUUAUCUACAAGGUUUAAUAAGUUUAGUAAGAAAUAUUUUUAAUAAAAAUGUUGAAUUUAAUAUCAUUAAUUUAAAAUAUUUUUAUUUUAAUAGUAAAAUAUUUACUCAACCUUUAGAAUUAAAAUUAAAAAAAAAAAGAAAUGUUUUAAGAUAUCUUAAAGUUUUAAUAAGAAAAGCAAAAAUUAAAAAUGUUAAAUUAGCAGAAAAAUCUAAAAAAUUUUUUAAUUUUAAUAUUUUUAAUAGUGAUAAUUUUUUACUACAAGAUAAUACUAAAUCUAAGUAUUUAAAAAAAAUUAUUUUAAGUAAUUUAAAAUAUAAAAGAGUAUCUGGUGUUAGAUUAGAAGCUGCUGGUAGAUUAACUAGACGUUUUUCAGCUUCUAGAUCUCAACGUAGAACUAAAUAUAAAGGAAAUUUAGAAAAUGUUUAUUCUUCAUUUAAAGGUUAUCCUACACCAGUAUUAAGAGGAAAUGAUAAAGCUAAUUUACAAUAUACUGUUAUUAACUCAACUUCACGUGUUGGAGCUUUUGGUGUUAAAGGUUGAGUAAGUAGUACUUAA
rnacentral:rRNA from 1 species